rnacentral:rRNA from 1 species
UACGGGGGGGGCAAGCGUUGUUCGGAAUUACUGGGCGUAAAGGGCGCGUAGGCGGCCUGUUAAGUCACACGUGAAAUCCCUCGGCUCAACCGGGGAACUGCGUGUGAUACUGACGGGCUUGAAUUCGGGAGAGGGAUGCGGAAUUCCAGGUGUAGCGGUGAAAUGCGUAGAUAUCUGGAGGAACACCGGUGGCGAAGGCGGCAUCCUGGACCGAGAUUGACGCUGAUGCGCGAAAGCCAGGGGAGCAAACGGG